CAUACCUGCCAACUGUCACAAUUUGUGGGGGAUUUCCCCCAUGAAAGCUCCCAAAUGGAAAUUUAAAAAGAACAAUUGUGUCCACAAUUAUAACAAAACAGUUAAUCUUACAAUGACUUUAGGCUUUUAAAAGUAUGAAGGAGCCAAAAAACAACAUUAAAAUACAUUUUAAGGUUUUUCAGGACUAUGAAAGCCAUCAUGCACAUAAAACCCCCAUGGUCAUUUUGAAAAGUUGGUAGGUAUGGGAGGUUAGCUAACAAGAGCUGGUGACACCAAUGCAAUUGCGGUUUAAAUUACACCUUUUACAACAGGCUAAACAAAACAUCUUUUA
rnacentral:lncRNA from 1 species